GUUUCUCCAGAGGAAGUGGUAAUGUGUGUUAUUAACAGGUCUAGCAGGUCUCUGUGACCUGCAGCUUGUCUCCUAGAGGUUUCUCCACAGGAAGUAGUGGUUUCUCCACAGGAAGUGGUAAUGUGUGUUAUUAACAGGUCUAGCACCUCUCUGUGACCUGCAGCUUGUCUCCUAGAGGUUUCUCCACAGGAAGUAGUGGUUUCUCCACAGGAAGUAGUAAUGUGUGUUAUUAACAGGUCUAGCACCUCUCUGUGACAUGCAGCUUGUCUCCUAGAGGUUUCUCCACAGGAAGUAGUAAUGUGUGU